AUAACAAUGCAGACUUUCAUGAUUGU
rnacentral:guide_RNA from 1 species